GAUUUCAGUAGUGCAAAAAUCGAGACAGUGAGUACACCAAGCCAUCAGGGGAGCUCCUUCCUGAAUAUUCAUAUUCAACAUAAAAUCUGAGAAAGUUUUAAGGUCUGGUUUGCUGAAUUUAAAGUAUGGUAUCUAUGCCUUGGACACCAAGUAUAAAUAUAAGUAUGCGUUGCUUCCUGAUGAAGGAGGAAUUCUUUUC
rnacentral:lncRNA from 1 species